AAUAGAAAACAGAGUUCUAGAUAAUAAACAUUGAGGGUGGGAUUAUUUUGAUAUUUUUAUGACCCUGCCUUCUAGACUUCCAAAGUUAUCCUAUUUAAAACAAACAAAAAUUGGAAUUGCAGUUUAAAAAGUAUAGGUACUUUUUGUAGGGACAGUGCAACUUUGCACGUCAAAGAACUCUUGCCACUUUAAGACAACUCUUUUGAGGUGUCAGUAGGACAUGGCUUGUGGCAAGGCUAACUUUCUGUCCAACAUUAUCCUCCUCUCGGCUGGCAGUCAAAGUUUCCCCUCCCUUUAUCAUUGGCCCACUUAAGAGAACAUUCAAAUUGAUUUGUUAUGAUGAUAUCAAGAGAUGUGAGACAACUAUCCUUCAGAGACCAAAUGUUGUUAAUGUAAAAAAGGUUGCUGUAUGGGCUUCAACAAUGAUAAAAUCCACUAACAUUAAAUAUUGCUUUAAAAUUUAGCAAUAUUCUAAUUUAGAAUGACUUUUUUAUACCUCCAACCUUUAACAUCUGAUAUUUUUCUUAUCUAGAGCUCUGUAAAAAAGAAGAAAAAAAUAUAAAAAAGAAAAUACCAAAAAAUAAUAUGAAAACAGAGUUCUAGAUAAUAAACAUUGACGGUGGGAUUAUUCUGAUAUUUUUAAUAACCCUCUGCCUUAUAGUCUUCUAACAUUAUCAUAUUUAAAACAUACAAAAAUUGAAACGGCCAGUUUAAAAAGUAUAGGUCCUUUUGUAGGGACAGUGCAACUCUGCAUGUUAAAGAACCCUUUCCACAACUCUUUUGAGGUGUCAGUAUGACAUGAUGUUGCAAGACUAACUUUCUGUCCAACAUUAUCCUCCUCCUCAUUGGCAGUCAAAAAUUCCCCUUCCUUCAUCAUCAGGUAACUUUAAAGAACCUACAAAUUGAUUUGUUAUGAUAUCAAGAGAUGUGAGACAACUAUCCUACAGAGACCAAAUGAUAUUAAUGUAAAAUAGAGUACUGUAUGGGCUUCAACAAUGUGAAAAUCCACUAAAAUUAAAAUUUUGCAAUAUUCUGAUUUAAAAUGACUUUUUUUUAUACCUCUCCAACCUUUAACAUCUGAUAUUUUUAUUAUCUAGAGUUCUGUAAAAAAAAAAAUGAAAAAAAAUAUAUAAAAAAGAAAAUACCAAAAAAUGAUAUGAAAACAAAAUAGAAAACAGAGUUCUAGAUAAUAAACAUUGACGGUGGGAUUAUUUUGAUAUUUUGAUGACCCCGCCUUUAAGUCUUCUAAAGUUAUCAUAUUUAAAAAAAACAAAAAUUGGAAUGGCAGUUUAAAAAGUAUAGGUCCUUUUUGUAAGGACAGUGCAACUUUGCACGUUAAAGAACCCUUGCCACAUUAAGACAACUCUUUGAGGUGUCAGUAGGACAUGGCUUGUGGCAAGGCUAACUUUCUGUCCAAGAUUAUCCUCCUCUCGGCUGGCAGUCAAAAUUUCCCCUCCCUUCAUCAUUGGCCCACUUGAGAGAACCUACAAAAUGAUUUGUUAUGAUGAUAUCAAGAGAUGUGAGACAACAAUCCUUCAGAGACCAAAUGAUGUUAAUGUAAAAAAGAUUUCUGUUUUGGCUUCAACAAUGAGAAAAUCCACUAACAUUAAAUAUUGCUUUAAAAUUUAGCAAUAUUCUAAUUUAGAAUGACUUUUUUAUACCUCCAACCUUUAACAUCUGAUAUUUUUAUUAUCUAGAGCUCUGUAAAAAAUAAGAAAAAAAUAUAAAAAAGAAAAUACCAAAAAAUAAUAUGAAAACAAAAUAGAAAACAGAGUUCUAGAUAAUAAACAUUGAGGGUGGGAUUAUUCUGAUAUUUUUAAUAACCCUCCGCCUUAUAGUCUUCUAACGUUAUCAUAUUUAAAACAUACAAAAAUUGAAAUGGCAGUUUAAAAAGUAUAGGUCCUUUUGUAGGGACAGUGCAACUCUGCACGUUAAAGAACCCUUUCCACAAAUCCUUUGAGGUGUCAGUAUGACAUGAUGUUCCAAGACUAACUUUCUGUCCAACAUUAUCCUCCUCCUCAUUGGCAGUCAAAAAUUCCCCUUCCUUCAUCAUCAGGUUACUUUUAAGAACCUACAAAUUGAUUUGUUAUGAUAUCAAGAGAUGUGAGACAACUAUCCUACAGAGACCAAAUGAUGUUAAUGUAAAAUAGAUUACUGUAUGGGCUUCAACAAUGAGAAAAUCCACUAACAUUAAAAUUUUGCAAUAUUCUGAUUUAGAAUGACUUUUUUAUACCUCCAACCUUUAACAUCUGAUAUUUUCAUUAUCUAGAGCUCUGAAAAAAAAAAUUUAAAAAAAUAUAUAAAAAAGAAAAUACCAAAAAAUAAUAUGAAAACAAAAUAGAAAACAGAGUUCUAGAUAAUAAACAUUGAGGGUGGGAUUAUUUUGAUAUUUUUAUGACCCUGCCUUCUAGACUUCCAAAGUUAUCAUAUUUAAAAGAAACAAAAAUUGGAAUGGCAGUUUAAAAAGUAUAGUUCCUUUUGGUAGGGACAGUGCAACUCUGCACAUUAAAAAACCCUUGCCACAACUCUUUUGAGGUGUCAGUAGGUCAUGGCUUGUGGCAAGGCUAACUUUGUCCAAGAUUAUCCUCCUCUCGGCUGGCAGUCAAAAUUUCCCCUCCCUUCAUCAUUGGCCCACUUAAGAGAACCUACAAAUUGAUUUGUUUUGAUGAUAUCAAGAGAUGUGAGACAACUAUCCUUCAGAGACCAAAUGUUGUUAAAUGUAAAAUAGGUUGCUGUAUGGGCUUCAACAAUGAGAAAAUCCACUAACAUUAAAUAUUGCUUUAAAAUUUAGCAAUAUUCUAAUUUAGAAUGACUUUUUUAUACCUCCAACCUUUAACAUCUGAUAUUUUUAUUAUCUAGAGCUCGGUAAAAAAUAAGAAAAAAAUUUAAAAAAGAAAAUACCAAAAAAUAAUAUGAAAACAAAAUAGAAAACAGAGUUCUAGAUAAUAAACAUUGACGGUGGGAUUAUUCUGAUAUUUUUAAUAACCCUCUGCCUUAUAGUCUUCUAACGCUAUCAUAUUUAAAACAUACAAAAAUUGAAACGGCAGUUUAAAAAGUAUAGGUCCUUUUGAAGGGACAGUGCAACUCUGCACGAUAAAGAACACUUUCCACAACUCUUUUGAGGUGUCAGUAUGACAUGAUGUUGCAAGACUAACUUUCUGUCCAACAUUAUCCUCCUCCUCAUUGGCAGUCAAAAAUGCCCCUUCCUUCAUCAUCAGGUAACUUUAAAGAACCUACAAAUUGAUUUGUUAUGAUAUCAAGAGAUGUGAGACAACUAUCCUACAGAUACCAAAUGAUGUUAAUGUAAAAUAGAGUACUGUAUGGGCUUCAACCAUGAGAAAAUCCACUAACAUUAAAAUUUUGCAAUAUUCUAAUUUAGAAUGUCUUUUCUAUACCUCCAACCUUUAACAUCUGAUAUUUUUAUUAUCUAGAGCUCUGUAAAAAAAAAAAAUGAAAAAAAAUAUAUAAAAAAGAAAAUACCAAAAAAAUAAUAUGAAAACAAAAUAGAAAACAGAGUUCUAGAUAAUAAACAUUGAGGGUGGGAUUAUUUUGAUAUUUUUAUGACUCGCCUUGAAGUCUUCUAAAGUUAUCCUAUUUAAAACAAACAAAUUGGAAUGGCAGUUUAAAAAGUAUAGGUCCUUUUUGUAGGGACAGUGCAACUUUGCACAUUAAAGAACUCUUGCCACAUAAAGACAACUCUUUUGAUGUGUCAGUAGGACAUGGCUUGUGGCAAGGCUAACUUUCUGUCCAAGAUUAUCCUCCUCUCGGCUGGCAGUCAAAAUUUCCCCUCCCUUCAUCAUUGACCCACUUAAGAGAAGCUACAAAUUGAUUUGUUAUGAUGAUAUCAAGAGAUGUGAGACAACUAUCCUACAGAGACCAAAUGUUGUUAAUGUAAAAUAGGUUGCUGUAUGGGCUUUAACAAUGAGAAAAUCCACUAACAUUAAAUAUUGCUUUAAAAUUUAGCAAUAUUCUAAUUUAGAAUGACUUUUUUAUACCUCCAACCUUUAACAUCUGAUAUUUUUAUUAUCUAGAGCUCUGUAAAAAAAAAAGAAACAAAAUAUAUAAAAAAGAAAAUACCAAAAAUGUAUAUGAAAACAAAAUUGUAAACAGAAUUCUAGAUAAUAAACAUUGAGGGUGGUAUAAAAAGUGGGCAUUUAUCAAAUUUCUUUUUAUUCAAUAUUUAUGAAUAUAACUCAGUUGUUGGUGAAUUCUUUUGUGCUGAAUAGGUGUUUUCAUUCAUUAGUAUAUUAACUUUUUAUUUUUUUAAGCUGUUUAUUUUGUAUGCCAAAAAUGGCUUUAAAAGCGCAUUUUUUUUCAUUUCACUAAUUUGGAGACUUAACAUCUAUUUUCUCUGAAUAUUGCAAAUUUGAUUUUGACUCACUUUGUUUAAAGCUAUAACCUUAAACAUCUGAUAUUUUUAUCAUCUAGAGCUUUGUAAAAAAAAAAAAAAAAAAAAAAUGUGAAAAAAAAUUAAAUAACAAAAAAUAAAAUGAAAACAAAAGUGUAAACAGAGUUCUAGAUAAUAAACAUUGAGGGUGGUAUAAAAAGUGGGCAUAUUUAAAAUUUCAUUUUAUACAAUAUUUAUGAAUGCAACUCAGUUUUUGGUGAAUUCUUUUGUGCUGAAUAGGUUUUUUUCUUUAAUUAGUUUAUUAACAUGUUAUUUUUUAUGCCAAAAAUGGCUUUGAAAGUUCUAAUAUUGAAUUGGAAGUACAUUUUUUUCAUUUUAGUAAUUUGGAGACAACAUCUAUCUUCUCCGAAUAAUUCAAGCUAAUACUGUCUUCAAUUUUUUGUUUGAAUUUGAUUCGAAUUACUUUGUUUAAAUCUAUAAUUUUAAACAUCUGAUUUGUUAAUUGUCUAGAGCUCUGUAAAAAAAAAAAAAAAAAAUGUGAAAAAAAAAAAUAACUAAAAAAUAAUAUGAAAACAAAAUUGUAAACAGAGUUCUAGAUAAUAAACAUUGAGGGUGGUAUAAAAAGUGGGCAUAUUUAAAAUUUCAUUUUAUGCAAUAUUUAUGAAUACAACUCAGUUUUUGGUGAAUUCUUUUGUGCUGAAUAGGUUUUUUUCUUUAAUUAGUUUAUUAACAUGUUAUUUUUUAUGCCAAAAAUGGCUUUGUAAGUUCUAAUAUUGAAUUGGAAGUACAUUUUUUUCAUUUUAGUAAUUUGGAGACAACAUCUAUCUUCUCCGAAUAAUACAAGCUAAUACUGUCUUAAUUUUUUGAUUUAAUUUGAAUUCGAAUAACUUAGUUUAAAUCUAUGAUAUUAAACAUCUGAUUUGUUAAUUAUCUGGAGCUCUGUAAAAAAAAUUGUGAAAAAAAUUAAUAACAAGAUUGUAAACAGAGUUCUAGAUAAUAAACAUUGAGGGUGGUAUAAAAAGUGAGCAUAUUUAAAAUUUAUUUUUAUUUUUGAAUGCAACUCAGUUUUUGGUGAUUUUUUUGUGCUGAAUAGGUCUUUUCUUUCAUUAGUAUAUUAACUUGUUAUUUUUGUAGAUUUGUAUAUUUUGUAUGGCAAAAAUGGAUUUAAAAGUUUGGAGAUUUUAUUUGAAGUGCAAUUCUUUUAAUUUUAGUAAUUUGGAGACAAUAUUUGUCUUCUCCAAAUAUUACAUGCUAACAUAGUCCUAAAAUUUUUAUUUUGAAUUACUUUGUAUAAACCUAUAACCUUAAACAUCUGAUAUUUUAUUAUCUAGAGCUCUGUAAAAAAAAAAAAAAAAAAACAUGUGUAAAACAAUAAAGUAACUAAAUAAAAUCAUGAAAACAAAAUUGUAAACAGAGUUCUAGAUAAUAACAUAAAGAGUGGUGUAAAAAGUAGGCAUGUUUAAAGUUUGUUUAUUAUUAUGAAUAGUGCACUGUAUAAUUUGUAAAAUAUUUAUUGUGAAGUCUUGGAAAAUUGUGAAAUUUUAGAACUGUGUUUAUUUGAGAUGUCUAUAUUCAAUCUUCAAUAAUGGUCAUGGCAAUGGAGGACAGUUGAAUAUUAUUGCUCUGUGAAGAAACAUAAUUUUUUUAUAUCUAGAAAGAUCCAACAACAGUCAUCAAUGAUAUCUAAAGAGACAAAAUACUGAGAAAUACAAAAAGCUCAAAUUAGUAUGUACAGUCAAACAACUGGCACACUCAAGCUAAAAACAAAUAGUUAAAUAAAACUAUGAACUUAUAUAAUAAAAUUUAUGUUCUACAUUUAAGACAUGUUCCUACAUACCAUUCUAUAGAGAAGACGCAUUCCUACAUAAUGUUCUGGAGAAGAUGCAUUCCUACAUUAUGUUCUAGAGAAGACAUGUGCUUUACAUACUGUUCUAUAGUGGAAGACAUGUUUCUACAUACUGUUCAAUAGUGAAGACACAUUCCUUGGUACUGUUUAAUAGUGAAGACACAUUUCUACAUAAUGGUCUAUAUUGAAGACAUAUAUUGUUCCUACACAAUGUUCUAUGGUGAAGAAAGAUGUUCUAUAGCACAAACAGAUUUUCCUUAGUUGCAAUGAAGUGUUCAGAAGACAGACAGAGUUUCCUUUUGCAAUGAAGUAUCCAUAAGAUUUCCAGCUCUUCAUUGCAUAUUCUGCUGUUUUCUCAAGAAAAACACAAGAUUUCAAUGUUCAACCUGAAAGUAGAAAUUCUUAAAAUGUAUGCUGGACAUCUCAAAUCAAGGACCCAUCAUAAUACUGGAUAUCUACAGAUAUAAGACUUGUGGAGAAUAUUCUGAUAAAUUAAUGAUGAAAGACAAAUUGUGCUACAAGCAUCAAACCAGCAAAAUAAAUUGAUGGAAGUAAAACAUAAGAGCAGGAUCUUACCUCAUACAAGUGAGAAGGAACGAUUGAACUGAUGAACUAAGAAACAUCUGAAUGGUGUACACAAGAAAAUCAGUCCACAUAGAAUAAGGAAAGAGGAAGAUAGACUAAAGGAUAGAUGAAAUUAGAAAAAAAAAGAAAUUAACCUACAAACCACCCACUUAGAGAUUAGAGCUGACUCAACUGAUGAACAUAGUCAACUGAUAGAGAUAGUCAACUGAUGAACAUAGUCAACCGAUGAACAUAGUCAACUGAUGAACAUAGUCAACUGAUGAACAUAGUCAACUGAUGAACAUAGUCAACUGAUAGACAUAGUCAACUGAUAGACAUAGUCAACUGAUGAACAUAGUCAACUGAUAGAGAUAGUCAACUGAUGAACAUAGUCAACUAAUCAACAGUCAACUAAUGAAUAGUCAACCGAUGAACAUAGUCAACUGACGAACAUACUCAACCGAUGAACAAAGUCAACUGAUAGAGAUAAUCAACUGAUAGACAGUCAACUGAUAGACAUAGUCAACUGAUGAACAUAGUCAACUGAUGAACAUAGUUAACGGAUAGAGGUAGUCAACUGAUGAACAUAGUCAACUGAUAGAGAUAGUCAACUGAUGAACAUAGUCAACUGAUGAACAUAGUCAACUGAUGAACAUAGUCAACUGAUGAACAUAGUCAACCGAUGAACAUAGUCAACUGAUGAACAUAGUCAACUGAUAGAGAAAGUCAACUGAUUAACAUAGUCAACUGAUGAACAUAGUCAACUGAUGAACAUAGUCAACUGAUAGAGAUAGUCAACUGAUUAACAUAGUCAACUGAUGAACAUAGUCAACUGAUGAACAUAGUCAACUAAUCAACAGUCAACUAAUGAAUAGUCAACCGAUGAACAUAGUCAACUGACGAACAUACUCAACCGAUGAACAAAGUCAACUGAUAGAGAUAAUCAACUGAUAGACAGUCAACUGAUGAACAUAGUCAACUGAUGAACAUAGUCAACUGAUGAACAUAGUUAACGGAUAGAGGUAGUCAACUGAUGAACAUAGUCAACUGAUAGAGAUAGUCAACUGAUGAACAUAGUCAACCGAUGAACAUAGUCAACUGAUGAACAUAGUCAACUGAUAGAGAUAGUCAACUGAUUAACAUAGUCAACUGAUGAACAUAGUCAACUGAUGAACAAAGUCAACUGAUAGACAUAGUCAACUGAUAGACAUAGAAAUGUUUUAAUAUAUUAACAGCAUAGUAAAACAAAGAACAUGUCAGAGACUAAUAUUCUUGUCAAUUAAAAUAUGACUGAAAUUUCAUAAUUGUAUAUGGUCCGCGGGAGAGAGAGAAAUAUGUAGAAUGAUCAAGAGGGGGAGAGAGAGAACACUUAUGUUGACGAGAGAGGAGAGAAAUAUUGCAACUGGUUUUGUCUUCAACCAAACACAUGGCUUGUGAUGAUGUGUCUAACUUUAGACAUCCUAUAUUUUUAUUAUCAACAGCUCUGUUAAAAAAAAAAAAAAAAUAUAAUAUGAAAACAAAAUUAAACAGAAUUAUAGAUAAAAAAUCAU